rnacentral:rRNA from 1 species
AGAGUUUGAUCAUGGCUCAGAUUGAACGCUGGCGGCAGGCCUAACACAUGCAAGUCGAGCGGUAGCACAGAGAGCUUGCUCUCGGGUGACGAGCGGCGGACGGGUGAGUAAUGUCUGGGAAACUGCCUGAUGGAGGGGGAUAACUACUGGAAACGGUAGCUAAUACCGCAUAACGUCGCAAGACCAAAGUGGGGGACCUUCGGGCCUCAUGCCAUCAGAUGUGCCCAGAUGGGAUUAGCUNNNNNNNNNNNNNNNGGCUCACCUAGGCGACGAUCCCUAGCUGGUCUGAGAGGAUGACCAGCCACACUGGAACUGAGACACGGUCCAGACUCCUACGGGAGGCAGCAGUGGGGAAUAUUGCACAAUGGGCGCAAGCCUGAUGCAGCCAUGCCGCGUGUGUGAAGAAGGCCUUCGGGUUGUAAAGCACUUUCAGCGGGGAGGAAGGCGGUGAGGUUAAUAACCUCACCGAUUGACGUUACCCGCAGAAGAAGCACCGGCUAACUCCGUGCCAGCAGCCGCGGUAAUACGGAGGGUGCAAGCGUUAAUCGGAAUUACUGGGCGUAAAGCGCACGCAGGCGGUCUGUCAAGUCGGAUGUGAAAUCCCCGGGCUCAACCUGGGAACUGCAUUCGAAACUGGCAGGCUAGAGUCUUGUAGAGGGGGGUAGAAUUCCAGGUGUAGCGGUGAAAUGCGUAGAGAUCUGGAGGAAUACCGGUGGCGAAGGCGGCCCCCUGGACAAAGACUGACGCUCAGGUGCGAAAGCGUGGGGAGCAAACAGGAUUAGAUACCCUGGUAGUCCACGCUGUAAACGAUGUCGAUUUGGAGGUUGUGCCCUUGAGGCGUGGCUUCCGGAGCUAACGCGUUAAAUCGACCGCCUGGGGAGUACGGCCGCAAGGUUAAAACUCAAAUGAAUUGACGGGGGCCCGCACAAGCGGUGGAGCAUGUGGUUUAAUUCGAUGCAACGCGAAGAACCUUACCUGGUCUUGACAUCCACAGAACUUUCCAGAGAUGGAUUGGUGCCUUCGGGAACUGUGAGACAGGUGCUGCAUGGCUGUCGUCAGCUCGUGUUGUGAAAUGUUGGGUUAAGUCCCGCAACGAGCGCAACCCUUAUCCUUUGUUGCCAGCGGUUAGGCCGGGAACUCAAAGGAGACUGCCAGUGAUAAACUGGAGGAAGGUGGGGAUGACGUCAAGUCAUCAUGGCCCUUACGACCAGGGCUACACACGUGCUACAAUGGCAUAUACAAAGAGAAGCGACCUCGCGAGAGCAAGCGGACCUCAUAAAGUAUGUCGUAGUCCGGAUUGGAGUCUGCAACUCGACUCCAUGAAGUCGGAAUCGCUAGUAAUCGUAGAUCAGAAUGCUACGGUGAAUACGUUCCCGGGCCUUGUACACACCGCCCGUCACACCAUGGGAGUGGGUUGCAAAAGAAGUAGGUAGCUUAACCUUCGGGAGGGCGCUUACCACUUUGUGAUUCAUGACUGGGGUGAAGUCGUAACAAGGUAACCGUAGGGGAACCUGCGGUUG